ACGCUGGCGGCAGGCCUAACACAUGCAAGUCGAGCGGUAGAGAGAAGCUUGCUUCUCUUGAGAGCGGCGGACGGGUGAGUAAUGCCUAGGAAUCUGCCUGGUAGUGGGGGAUAACGUUCGGAAACGGACGCUAAUACCGCAUACGUCCUACGGGAGAAAGCAGGGGACCUUCGGGCCUUGCGCUAUCAGAUGAGCCUAGGUCGGAUUAGCUAGUUGGUGGGGUAAUGGCUCACCAAGGCGACGAUCCGUAACUGGUCUGAGAGGAUGAUCAGUCACACUGGAACUGAGACACGGUCCAGACUCCUACGGGAGGCAGCAGUGGGGAAUAUUGGACAAUGGGCGAAAGCCUGAUCCAGCCAUGCCGCGUGUGUGAAGAAGGUCUUCGGAUUGUAAAGCACUUUAAGUUGGGAGGAAGGGUUGUAGAUUAAUACUCUGCAAUUUUGACGUUACCGACAGAAUAAGCGCCGGCUAACUCUGUGCCAGCAGCCGCGGUAAUACAGAGGGUGCAAGCGUUAAUCGGAAUUACUGGGCGUAAAGCGCGCGUAGGUGGUUAGUUAAGUUGGAUGUGAAAUCCCCGGGCUCAACCUGGGAACUGCAUUCAAAACUGACUGACUAGAGUAUGGUAGAGGGUGGUGGAAUUUCCUGUGUAGCGGUGAAAUGCGUAGAUAUAGGAAGGAACACCAGUGGCGAAGGCGACCACCUGGACUGAUACUGACACUGAGGUGCGAAAGCGUGGGGAGCAAACAGGAUUAGAUACCCUGGUAGUCCAA
rnacentral:rRNA from 1 species